GCUUCUUGCCGGCUUCGAGCACGACCUUGCCGCUAUCGGCGUCGAUCAGGUCAUUGAUCGUCGAAUAGCCGCGGAAACGGUCUGCAACGAACGGCACGCGCCAGCCGUCCUUGAUCCGCUUGUACUGGAUCUUCUUGUAGAACGUGGACAGGAUUUCUUCGCCGUCGAGACCGAGGGCGAACAUCAGCGACGUCACCGGAAUCUUGCGGCGGCGGUCGAUACGCGCGAACACGAUGUCCUUGGCGUCGAACUCGAUGUCGAGCCACGAACCGCGGUA
rnacentral:misc_RNA from 1 species